AUUGAUUAUGACGUACUUGUACUGAUUGAGAUUUUAACACRAAGUGAGUGGCGAACGGGUGAGUAACACGUGGGUAACCUGCCCAGAAGUAGGGGAUAACACCUGGAAACAGAUGCUAAUACCGUAUAACAGAGAAAACCGCAUGGUUUUCUUUUAAAAGAUGGCUCUGCUAUCACUUCUGGAUGGACCCGCGGCGUAUUAGCUAGUUGGUGAGGUAAAGGCUCACCAAGGCAGUGAUACGUAGCCGACCUGAGAGGGUAAUCGGCCACAUUGGGACUGAGACACGGCCCAGACUCCUACGGGAGGCAGCAGUAGGGAAUCUUCCACAAUGGACGCAAGUCUGAUGGAGCAACGCCGCGUGAGUGAAGAAGGGUUUCGGCUCGUAAAGCUCUGUUG
rnacentral:rRNA from 1 species